AGAGAUCUUGAUGCAGACGUCCUUUUGGAUUUCUUUUUAAUAAUGUGUGACCCUUCACCUUUGAUCCCCUGACCUGCAUUACUUUGCAGGAGAUCUGAGAGGACCUCACAUGGCUGCUGCUGGCAUCUGCUCAUCGUUGGGGGACACAAAGCACAUCGGAGAACCCUUUUGCUGCUGUUUGUCCCAUGGUAGAGGCUGUAGGAAGCAUCAUGUUGGUGUUUGGAGGAGCACCACAACCACUGCUGCUUCUUGACUCAGGAGUGAGAAUGAAUGAAGUCCGCUCUGUUCAGCAGAGGUUUGCUGCUCAUCACCUCAGCCCCUGGAGUCACUGCUGUGGCUGUGCCGUCCUGCAUGCACUGCUGAGUUGGGAUCACUGCGGCUGCACUGCCGGCCUCACUGGCUGCACCGUGUGUGCAAGAGCUGGAAGCUGGGCCAGUUUGUUUGUUGUUGAGCUGGGUUUUGUGUGUAAACAGCAGUAAACAUCAGUGAGCAAAGCUACUACGUUAGCAGAAUGAGCUUUACCAUUUACCCUAACCUGAAUUCUUUUCUCAGGUUUCCACUCUGCUGUUGGUGGAUGGCAGUAAAUCAUAUCAGCAUUUACCCCUUUAUAUCCUGAGAUUACAGAACCUGAUUCAUUUUCCUGAACGUGGCUUUGCUCCAAGUAGGAAAUAAACCACGUUUUAAUCAAAUACUUGAUCAAAGAACUGCAUAAAUGCUACGGAGCGUUGGUAAAGCCAAAAGCACUGUCAGGAGAGACGUACUUAAAUGUUGGGAGAAUACUCCACUGAAAGAAUUGUUUCUGUUUACGAGGUUUUUCUGCUAUUCAAAACUAAAAUAUUGAUAAUAUCCACUCCUGAAACAACUCUUAAUAUUGAAGUUGAUGCAAUAUUUUCUCUUGCUGGAUGCUUUUAUAUGCUGGCUUUAACGUAAGGCUAAAUGGCUGAAAUGAAAUACUUUGCACAUUUCCUAGAUUUAGAACACCACGUGUCUUGCAUUUCAGGUAAUGCAGCUGGAGUAGAAUUAACCUAAUCUCUUUUAUUCCAUCUAAUAGACGUACUUGUGUAUCAGUCAUGUGGCUGUGCUGUUCAUUUAAUAAAAUAUACAUAGGCAACAGACAGAUUGCUCACUUCAGUCUGGACUGCUUUGAAAAACAGAUGUAUCAGUCAACACAAGCAAACAUUGUUGGUUCUUCCUAUUAAUAAUAAAACCCAUCCAAGCGUGCAGUGGGAAGGAGCACACAGGGUGGAUAAGAAAUGUGUCUGAGGAAACACGUCGGGAUCUCUGUCCACACGGACUGUUGGAUGGGGAGCUGCCUCCUGAUGUGCCUGGGGACAACCUCUGGAUGAGGACACAGCUGUGAGCUCCCCAGCUGUCACUGCUCUGCCUGUAUAUUGCUCUGAAAAGCAAUGAAAUAAUUUAAUUACUGCUAUUGCUUUCAUCUUCAAAUCCUCAAAAUGCAUUAAGGUCUUUGAUCGCUGAAUUGGGAAGCCAAUUCCUAUUGGGCAGCCUUCCACAACUUGGUUCUGUGCUUCUGUUUUCACACUGCUGACAGAAAUAGCAGGUCUAUACUAAUCAGGUGCGGUAUUUUGCUUUCUCUGUGUGCUCGCACUAGGAUUCCUUGCCCUUCCUUUGCUCUUAGCUGCUCGCCUUGGGUGAAGAAAUGUGCACUGAUAAAAAUGUGGCUUUAUUUCUCCCUUAGGUUUGGCUUAUCUGCUUUUCAGCUCUUCCAGACAUUGAAAGUUCCAGUUUGUUUUUGUUUUCUCUGGAUUCCUUCCCAUGAGACAGAAGUGAAUUCAGCAUGGAUUACUGGGAGGGGAGCCUUGGCUGGGGAUGAGGCUAAUUGCAAUCUCUGGCUGUGCCACAGAUUCACUGAUGAUUUCUUUUGACUCAUUCACCUGCGCUGUAUCUGUUUCCUCAGCUGUAAAAUAUGGGUAAUUACCUCCUUUGUGAAAUAUUACGGGGUCUACAGGUAAUUAUAUGAAUGAAGUGCUAAUUACAGUGUUUAUUACUAAGACCUAGUCUAGAUCUGGGAGAUGUUCCUGUUGAUGUUGGCCUGGUUCGUAUCACUGCACAGGCUGCUGUAUGAGAUGUGGAGAUGUCAUGUUUUGGGAUGGAAGACACUAUUCCUUAGCUGAGAUGCUUUGUGUUACGGUGGGUUUGUGGCACACCCACUAAGUUGCACAGUGCAGUUGUUUGGUGCGAUGUCACCAUGAAGAUGACCCGGUGUGUGAUGCAGGGGAUGGUGCUGGCUGUGUCUGUGCUGUGUCACAGGCCUGGGGUCACAGGGCGGUUCCCCUCGGUUUACCUGUGUGUGUUAUUGCAGGUAGAGCUGGGUUUUGGUUUUGUAGAAUCAGAUUUCUGCUUCACAGAGGAAUUCUGGCAAGGCUGCGGGCAUAGGAAGAACUUUGUGUGUCCUGUGGGGUCUGUUCCUCCUGCUGCUACAAAUGGAAAAUAAACAAACAGAGCUCAGACAUGCAGCUGCUGAACUGAGCGCUCCAUGGAAGGAGUAGCAGGAGAUCUGGGGCAAGAGCUGUCUUGUGAAGAAAGCCUCUUAUGCUGGCACAGAAAGGCUGUGGAAGGAGGUCUGUGGGAGGCGUAAUGGAAAGACUCUUUCAAACAUCCGUGUAUUUUUUUUCCCCUCUUUCUGGUAAUUUUAAGAAAUCCCUCCUUCCUGAAAUCGAAUACCUCGGAACAUCAGAACUGCUCAGCUUUGACUGCAGUUAAGCUGCUGCCGUACCGGUCUGACAUUGCCUUUCUGCUAAAUGUAAAACAGUUUUUAAUCUUCUCAUUUAGCUGUUUUAAUAGAAAGUAAAUGUUUAACUUGCUUUGCCGUA